UACGUAGGUGGCAAGCGUUGUCCGGAUUUACUGGGCGUAAAGGAUGCGUAGGCGGAUAUUUAAGUCAGAUGUGAAAUUCCCGGGCUCAACUUGGGAGCUGCAUUUCAAACUGGGUAUCUAGAGUGCGGGAGAGGAGAGUGGAAUUCCUAGUGUAGCGGUGAAAUGCGUAGAGAUUAGGAAGAACACCAGUGGCGAAGGCGACUCUCUGGACCGUAACUGACGCUGAGGCAUGAAAGCGUGGGGAGCAAACAGGAUUAGAAACCCCAGUAGUCC
rnacentral:rRNA from 1 species